ensembl:lncRNA
GGGGGGAUUUUUUGUGUUUAGUUUUUUGUUUUUAUCUAAUUCGGGACAUUAAAUGACCCCACACAACUGUUCAUUAUCCAGUUCAUAUGGACACUAUAGCAAACAUACACAAAUCAACUGUAGGAAACAUUUCUAGCAUGUAAAAAUACCACAAUGAGGUUAUGAAUGAGUUCAUCUGUCACUUUAAGACCCAUACAGGGAGACCUCAGUUGAUUGGUGGAUUCAAACCUUCUUGCUGUGGGUCGAUGUGACAGAUUCUCUUUUUUUGUUUCGUCAUUUAUUUGACAAUUAAGUCUGUUUUUCCCAGAAUGUCCCCACUUUAUUUGGCUUUUUUUGUAUUUAAAUAUACUUUAUUUUUUUUUAAUGUAGAACAUGUCUUUAUGAAGUUAUCAGUUUUUCAUUAGGAAUUUGACUUUUGGGAGCAACUGGCCUUUUUUUAAAUUAUUAUUAUUAUUAUUAUUAUUAAUUUUAUCAUGUUUUCCUGUCUAGUGAGUUUAGUUUUUUCUUCUUUAAUUUGCCCCUUUUUAUAUUUUUUGUCAUAAAUUUGCCCGUUUUGAUUUUGAAUACUGCUAUUUUUUUCUCAUGAACUUGUUGUGGUGUUUUUUUUUUGUCAUAUGUUUGCAAACCUGCACAGCCACUUUAUUCUUUUCACUUUCAGUGUCCCAAAACGUUGUGAUCUGUUACAUCUGGACAGCAGACAAAUUGUUUAGGUAAGUCUUCUUGUGAUGUGUGCUAGCUGUGUGAGCUAAUGCUCAAGUCUGUCUUUUAAUACCCACUGCCAUUUAACUGUCGCUGGUUAGACUAAUUGAUGAGCCUAUAUUGCUAUUCAUUAUCUCAAAAGGUAAAAAUGGACUUGUCAUUCCAACUGUUGCAAAAAGCUACUGGUUAGUAUAAAAACUGUCAGAUAUUCAGAUUAGUUUAAUAAUAUGAACCGGCCUCUUUACAUGUUGACAUUUCACCGUCCUGAUUGAAAGACAAGGGAUGGAGUGGGCACACUGCUCGUGUUACGAGCUAAAGGGACACGAGAUCAGCGUGCACAGCUCUGUUUCUUAAUGCUUGGCCCUGGAGAAGAUCGGAGGAAUCCUGCAGACCUUCUCUUUAUCGCUGGAGUGUUUCAGUCGAGCUGCAAAAAGUCCAUUCCAUACGUGUCAGGCGGUGUUGUGUUUCUGGGGCAUUCCCUCUUAAUUUCCUCCUCGUCUUUUUCCAACACCAUGGCACUAAUCCUGUGUAGGAUAUCUCUGCCAACCAUCACUACCCACUCCUCAGCACAUUGUCAGCAUGAAGAACAACUUGUCAAUGGCUGGGAUCCAAGGAGGCAUUUUGGUCCUGUAGUUAGAAAGCUGUAUUUUCUUUUUAUUCCCUUCGAGAUUAUUUUUUUCUUAUACUUUUUUUGUCUGCAUUUCUCAACUCAUUAUCUGUACUGACCUUUGGCAGCCAUGUUUAUUACCACAUUUCUUGGUGUCUUAAGAUCUUCAUAGGGUCACAACUUCAAAUGUCUUGAAAAUAAUUACACGGCAAUACCUCACAUGAACAUAAUUAGGGAUGAAUCCCAGCAACUUCGGUUGUCCCAAUAACGUUUCCAGUGUCACCCUAAGGUUAGUAUCUCCACGACAACAUCAUGCUUUGAGCUGCCUUCGUCAAGCCACGGGGUAAUUGCUUAUAAGAGAAAAGUCUUGAUAUUAACAGGAUAGACUGCAAUUAUAUUUAGUUUAUUUAGCUUAAUUUUUACAAGUAUUCAUCCUACUGAAUGAAUGGAAACCCUUGGCUUUUAGGUAGUUACCUAACAAUUGACUGGCUUCUAGCCAUACGCUAUGAAAGAUGGUUGUUUGGUUAGUGUAUUUCUGCUAUUUCAAACCAUUUUCAUACACGAGAGAUGGAAGGAUUUGUCUGAG